rnacentral:rRNA from 1 species
CCUACGGGAGGCAGCAGUGGGGAAUAUUGCACAAUGGGGGAAACCCUGAUGCAGCGACGCCGCGUGAGUGAAGAAGUAAUUCGGUAUGUAAAGCUCUAUCAGCAGGGAAGAAAAUGACGGUACCUGAGUAAGAAGCCCCGGCUAACUACGUUCCAGCAGCCGCGGUAAUACGUAGGGGGCAAGCGUUAUCCGGAUUUACGGGGUGUAAAGGGGGCGGAGACGGCAGUGCAAGUCUGGAGUGAAAGGCGGGGGCUCAACCCCCGGACUGCUGUGGAAACUGUCUGGCUGGAGUGCAGGAGAGGUAAGUGGAAUUCCUAGUGUAGCGGUGAAAUGCGUAGAUAUUAGGAGGAACACCGGUGGCGAAGGCGGCUUACUGGACUGUAACUGACGUUGAGGCUCGAAAGCGUGGGGAGCAAACAGGAUUAGAUACCCCUGUAGUC